CCUACGGGUGGCAGCAGUGAGGAAUAUUGGUCAAUGGACGAGAGUCUGAACCAGCCAAGUAGCGUGAAGGCUGACUGCCCUAUGGGUUGUAAACUUCUUUUAUAUGGGAAUAAAACGUUCCACGUGUGGGAUUUUGUAUGUACCAUAUGAAUAAGGAUCGGCUAACUCCGUGCCAGCAGCCGCGGUAAUACGGAGGAUCCGAGCGUUAUCCGGAUUUAUUGGGUUUAAAGGGAGCGUAGGUGGAUUGUUAAGUCAGUUGUGAAAGUUUGCGGCUCAACCGUAAAAUUGCAGUUGAAACUGGCAGUCUUGAGUACAGUAGAGGUGGGCGGAAUUCGUGGUGUAGCGGUGAAAUGCUUAGAUAUCACGAAGAACUCCGAUUGCGAAGGCAGUUCACUGGACUGCAACUGACACUGAGGCUCGAAAGUGUGGGUAUCAAACAGGAUUAGAUACCCUUGUAGUC
rnacentral:rRNA from 1 species